rnacentral:rRNA from 1 species
UACGUAGGGUGCGAGCGUUGUCCGGAAUUAUUGGGCGUAAAGGGUGCGUAGGCGGUCCUACAAGUCAGAGGUGAAAGGCUACGGCUCAACCGUAGUAAGCCUUUGAAACUGUAGGACUUGAGUGCAGGAGAGGAGAGUGGAAUUCCCAGUGUAGCGGUGAAAUGCGUAGAUAUUGGGAGGAACACCAGUUGCGAAGGCGGCUCUCUGGACUGUAACUGACGCUGAGGCACGAAAGCGUGGGGAGCAAACAGG